rnacentral:rRNA from 1 species
AUACGUAGGGGGCAAGCGUUAUCCGGAUUUACUGGGUGUAAAGGGAGCGUAGACGGUAAAGCAAGUCUGAAGUGAAAGCUCGGGGCUCAACCCCGGAACUGCUUUGGAAACUGUUUUACUGGAGUGCAGGAGAGGUAAGCGGAAUUCCUAGUGUAGUGGUGAAAUGCGUAGAUAUUAGGAGGAACACCAGAGGAGAAGGCGGCUUACUGGACUGUAACUGACGUUGAGGCUCGAAGGCGUGGGGAGCAAACAGGAUUAGAUACCCUGGUAGUCCACGCGGUAAACGAUGAUCACUAGGUGUCGGCGGCCAUAGGCGGUCGGUGCCGCAGCAAACGCAAUAAGUGAUCCACCUGGGGAGUACGUUCGCAAGAAUGAAACUCAAAUGAAUUGACGGGG